GUGCGGGGUCCCGGACGGCAACCGCUCCAGCCUCGGCUGCGCCCAGGCCUGGCGGCCCGCCCUGUCCCCAGGCAUCGGUCCGCGCGCGGGAGCUCGGGGAGCCAGGCUGCAGGAAGACGCUUGUCCAGCGCGCGUCCCAGCCUGUGUCUGCAGCGAGCACCCACUGUGUGUCUUGCGCCGCGCAGGAGCCUCGUCCACAAAGACGGAGGACAGUACCGCUGCUGUCACCGGGGAUCUUUUGCUCCCCAGUCAGUGCAAAACUCCCUGCGCCUCAAGCCAGCGUUUAAACACAAGCCCUGUUCGAGCCACUGCCCGCCCCAAGAGCAGCCGCUGCAGCUCAACUCUCCGGGUCCCGUGGGUUCUUCACAGUUGGCCUCAAAGUCCGAUCUUGCUUUGUUCGUGGAAUGCGUUAGCUACCUCCUCUAAGCAAACGCUUGUUGGCUGUUGGCUCUAAGCGGGCAUUUACUGGUAUAAGCAGUGACGCUUAGUCCACGUGUAUUAAGGACGGAAGGCAGACAGCCAGAAAAAGGACAGCAAUGUCCGUCUGCAGAACUGGAGACUCCCAGGCCCCGGCAGCUGCACUAAAACAGCAGCAGAGGUUUCAACCCAGAGUCCAUGGCUCUAAUGAAACAGAACAUCAGAGUGGCAGAGCACAUGACAGAGGCUGCUCAUCUUAUGGCAACCAGGAAGCAAAGAGAGGGAGCCAGGACAAGUGACGAACCCUCUGUAAUCUAAUCCCUCUCACUAGGACUCAUUCACAUCCUAAAGUUUCCCAAACUUUAGCAUGGUCUCAAGCUAAAGAGCACAAUUUCAACAGUGAGCGUGUAAGGGUAGGCAUUUCAUAUUCGAGCUGUAAUAUCUGCCCCUGCAUGCUAAAGAUUCAGGGUCAUCUCAUAAUACAAAAGGCAAGAGUCUCCAAAGUCUUAAUAGUCCAAUGUUGUCCAAAAAUUCAAGUCUAAAAUUGUGAGACUUGAGGCAAACUCCUUUGUGAGCUCCUAUAGCAUUGUUCUCAACCUUCUGAGUGCCUCAGCAGGUGAAGCCAGCCAAAUACUUCUCUGGGUGCCUUAGUGUGAGCAGGGAACCACUGAGCACAUUCCUGUCAAGGGGAAGUCUUUAAAUGAGUUUAUAAAUUUUCAUACCCUUCUGCCUACAAAGCCUGGCAUCGGGCUGGUGCCUGAGAUGCCCUCGAGGUAUCUUUUCUGUUGUACUAGUACAGAACUCUUGGCUUCUCCCUAGUAGCCCUGCUUUCUUUAGGAACCAUCUCUUUAUCAAUGUUCAUUUGACAUUGACUUUUCUGACCAAGGUGUAAGUUUCUCAGAUCUUUUCUCACUGUAAACCUGGCUAAAAGCAUCCAGUAACACCCACGCCACACUUCAUGCUGCCUUGAGUCUUCUUCCAUCAGAUUGAUUGUUUAAACUUAGUCUUCUGUGUCUCAGGACACAGACAAAAUGUAGGCAUACCUAUUUGUCGAAAUGUGAUAAACACAGGCUCAGUCUCCAGUGAAGUCCUUGUUGUCAUCUGAAAGCUCAAAAACACCGUGUUUAUUGUCCACAUCAAUAUCCAUUCUGGGUGUCUGAGCUCCUACCAGAACCAGCUACUAAAUUCUGCUUAUAGAAGUCUAGGGUUUUUCUAGUCCACAUCUUCAAGAGCUGCAUAGUUCCUCCCACGAUCCAGUUCUAAGGGCAUCUGAACCACAUAGCAGAUUACUUCUCAUAUACCAAGUUUCUACGUUGGUCAUAUUGUGAACAAAUACCCCAAAGAAGCAAAUUAGGGAAGAUUAAUCCCGACUCGCAAUUUCAGAACAUCAAGGCAAGGAGUGAGUGAUGGAGAAGCUCACAUCACCGUGUCCACGAAGCAGAGAGAACACGUGCUGCUGCUGCUGGCAUUCUCGUCCCAGUUUUUAUUCCAUCUGGUCUCCCAGCCCGUGCUACUGCGCCACCCAGAUUCAUGGCAGAUCUUCCUUCUUAACUAUUCCUCCCAAAGACGCGCUUUACUAAUCUGGAUGCUUCUUAAUCUAUUCCAACUGGCAAUCGAGAUAUAAUCAAGAUUCACCAUCCUGGAAAGGGGCAGGAGAAAAGCUGAGGAAAUGAAGAUGCUUCGAAUUACAAACAAAGCUUUCAAGAUGCUAAGGGAGCAGGCAUAGG
ensembl:lncRNA